CAAAUUCUAUAGCCAAGUUUGAGCGAAGGGAUUAAGAGCUUGCUCUUAUGAAGUUAGCGGCGGACGGGUGAGUAACACGUGGGUAACCUGCCCAUAAGACUGGGAUAACUCCGGGAAACCGGGGCUAAUACCGGAUAACAUUUUGAACCGCAUGGUUCGAAAUUGAAAGGCGGCUUCGGCUGUCACUUAUGGAUGGACCCGCGUCGCAUUAGCUAGUUGGUGAGGUAACGGCUCACCAAGGCAACGAUGCGUAGCCGACCUGAGAGGGUGAUCGGCCACACUGGGACUGAGACACGGCCCAGACUCCUACGGGAGGCAGCAGUAGGGAAUCUUCCGCAAUGGACGAAAGUCUGACGGAGCAACGCCGCGUGAGUGAUGAAGGCUUUCGGGUCGUAAAACUCUGUUGUUAGGGAAGAACAAGUGCUAGUUGAAUAAGCUGGCACCUUGACGGUACCUAACCAGAAAGCCACGGCUAACUACGUGCCAGCAGCCGCGGUAAUACGUAGGUGGCAAGCGUUAUCCGGAAUUAUUGGGCGUAAAGCGCGCGCAGGUGGUUUCUUAAGUCUGAUGUGAAAGCCCACGGCUCAACCCGUGGAGGGUCAUUGGAAACUGGGAGACUUGAGUGCAGAAGAGGAAAGUGGAAUUCCAUGUGUAGCGGUGAAAUGCGUAGAGAUAUGGAGGAACACCCAGUGGCGAAGGCAACUUUCUGGUCUGUAACUGACACUGAGGCGCGAAAGCGUGGGGGAGCAAACAGGAUUAGAUACCCUGGUAGUCCACGCCGUAAACGAUGAGUGCUAAGUGUUAGAGGGUUCCCGCCCUUUUAGUGCUGAAGUUAACGCAUUAAGCACCUCCGCCUGGGGGAGUACGGCCGCCAGAGUGAAACUCCACAGAAAUUGACGGGGGCCCGCCACAGCGGGGAGCAUGUGGUUUAAUUCGAACCACCCAAGACCCUUACCGGUCUUGACUCCUCUGAACACCCUUGAGAUAGGCUCCCCCUCUGGCAGAAAGUGAUGGUGGUUG
rnacentral:rRNA from 1 species